UACAGAGGUCUCAAGCGUUGUUCGGAUUCAUUGGGCGUAAAGGGUGCGUAGGUGGCGCGUUAAGUCAGGUGUGAAAUUUCGGAGCUUAACUCCGAAACUGCAUUUGAUACUGGCGUGCUUGAGGACUGGAGAGGAGACUGGAAUUCCUGGUGUAGCGGUGAAAUGCGCAGAUAUCAGGAGGAACACCGGUGGCGAAGGCGGGUCUCUGGGCCGAUACUGACGCUGAGGAGCGAAAGCGUGGGGAGCGAACAGG
rnacentral:rRNA from 1 species